rnacentral:rRNA from 1 species
GAUGAACGCUAGCUACAGGCUUAACACAUGCAAGUCGAGGGGAAACGACAUCGAAAGCUUGCUUUUGAUGGGCGUCGACCGGCGCACGGGUGAGUAACGCGUAUCCAACCUGCCCACCACUUGGGGAUAACCUUGCGAAAGUAAGACUAAUACCCAAUGACGUCUCUAGAAGACAUCUGAAAGAGAUUAAAGAUUUAUCGGUGAUGGAUGGGGAUGCGUCUGAUUAGCUUGUUGGCGGGGUAACGGCCCAACAAGGCGACGAUCAGUAGGGGUUCAGAGAGGAAGGUCCCACACAUUGGAACUGAGACACGGUCCAAACUCCUACGGGAGGCAGCAGUGGGGAAUAUUGGUCAAUGGGCGAGAGCCUGAACCAGCCAAGUAGCGUGCAGGAUGACGGCCCUAUGGGUUGUAAACUGCUUUUAUAAGGGAAUAAAGUGAGUCUCGUGAGACUUUUUGCAUGUACCUUAUGAAUAAGGACCGGCUAAUUCCGUGCCAGCAGCCGCCGUAA